UGCCAUGACAAAAUACCCCAGACCAGGC
rnacentral:piRNA from 1 species